rnacentral:rRNA from 1 species
UACGUAGGGUGCGAGCGUUGUCCGGAAUUACUGGGCGUAAAAAGCUCGUAGGCGGCUUGUCGCGUUGUUCGUGAAAAUUUACCGCUCAACGGUGAACUUGCGGGCGAUACGGGCAGGCUAGAGUACUGCAGGGGAGACUGGAAUUCCUGGUGUAGCGGUGAAAUGCGCAGAUAUCAGGAGGAACACCGGUGGCGAAGGCGGGUCUCUGGGCCGAAACUGACGCUGAGGAGCGAAAGCGUGGGGAGCAAACAGG